rnacentral:pre_miRNA from 1 species
GGUGGAGAAUUCCAAAGGGAUCGCAUUGAUCCGAUUCCCUCCCCCAUACCAAAGUGGGCGGUUUUGAUUCUCCGUCUUCUUUUCUUUGAUUUAUCGGAUCAUGCGAUCUCUUCGGAAUUUUCCAU